rnacentral:rRNA from 1 species
CAGCAGUAGCCACGGGAACACGUAGGGUGCAAGCGUUAAUCGGAAUUACUGGGCGUAAAGCGUGCGUAGGCGGUUUGUUAAGUCUGUUGUGAAAUCCCCGGGCUCAACCUGGGAAUGGCAAUGGAUACUGGCAAGCUAGAGUGUGUCAGAGGAUGGUGGAAUUCCCGGUGUAGCGGUGAAAUGCGUAGAGAUCGGGAGGAACAUCAGUGGCGAAGGCGGCCAUCUGGGACAACACUGACGCUGAGGCACGAAAGCGUGGGGAGCAAACAGGAUUAGAGACCCCCGUAGUCCCUGUCUCUUAUAC